GGGAGCGGCGCUGGCCGCGCUGCUGCGUCGUGUGAGCGGCCGUGCGCCGCGGGAUGUGCCGGGGCCGGAGCUCGCGCCUGGGCCCAGCCAGGAGCGCGGCGCCCGGUUUCCUCAUGUCGCGAGGCUGAGGGCACGUUGGGCUUUGGUUCGGGGGGGAAAUGGCUAACUUGAAAAGACAGCAGGUUUAGGAUGGUGGGCGUUUUUCAGCCAUCUGCACAGGGAUGGUCUGCAAUGACGAAAAGGUGAGGCCGCGCACCGUUCAUGAAACAGAUUGAGAGAAAGAAAGAAGAAUUGGUUUCUUCAAUUCUAGUAAUAACAACCUGGGUGUUCAUAGUCAUCUUGAUGUAAGAGGUGACCUAAAGAGGAAAAAUUGUUUUUGCAGUUUUGUUAUGUAUAACUUCCUGACCCUUCUAUCAAAAUGAGCCUUUCUAAGAUGAGAUAUUCCUUCAUAAUUUAGAUUUAUAUUUAUACUGACAAACGUUGUAGUUUCUGUUUGGUCUCAGCUUUGCAGGCUUGCAGAGAAACGCCUGGUUUGUGGGUAAAGAAGUAAUGCAAUAAAACAUUAGGAAGUGUUUGUUUUAAGACAAUUCACUCCAGCCAGGGGAUUUUCCUUAGAGAGGUGUUUGCAGACCUCCCAGUGUCUGAAAGCAAUGUGUUUAUACAGGUGACAGCUUUGAAUUCUAUUAAAAUGUGAUUGGAUUAUUAUUUUAGAGACCUAGAGAGAAACUUGAAAAACGUUUUGCUGGAACUUUGGUAGAUGGUGUUCCUAAAUUGGCACUGCUAGGGGAAAGGAAGUGGCUGGCAACAGCUGAUUUGAACAGAAGAAUUUUCCAGAACAACGUUAGCUCCAGCCCCCAGUGUUUUUUAGUUUUUAUUUUUUCUUUUCUUUUCUUGGUAUUUUUUUUUAAGCAUAUGUGUGGGCCGGAGGGUAAGAAACAAUAGAAAAAAGAGAGGACCUGACCUGAGAACAUGAUGCCAAAGUGAAGAAGUAAUGCAAAUGAGACCAAAGGGGAAAUAAAAAACAAAAAAAAGAAAGGAAAAAAAAGAGCAAUCCUUCAACAGUAGAUACUUUUGUUCUCUCCUUUUCUUGAGCUGAAAUGAAAUGUGUACGUGGAAUAAGAAGAAUGGUCUGUUAUUUUGCCUGAAUUUUCAGAGCUUUAAUUGCCAGACAAUAGUCAUUACUUUGCCUCGACACGGAGCUUUUUGUCAAACAGCACAGCUCAGUGUUGCCGAUGGCAAAAUUCCAACAACGAUCCAACAUGAGGCUGCUUUCUUUAUGCUUGCUUUAAUUGUUGUAAAUUAUUUAUAACUUACUGAUCAAUGCAAUCAGAAGUUUAACCAUCUCAGUUUAUAUUUUUUUCCCCUUAAAAAUCUUCAUUUUGAGCACUUAUUCCAAAUUGCAUUCCAUAGCCCCUUUGUCACUGGUCCUGCCAAAUACAUCCUCUCGCUAUGUGCUGUGAAGUAAGGGGCCGUAGAAGAGGUGGUUCAUUACAGCGGAAUUAAGUUAUGUCUGGACUGAGGAUUGCUAACCUCUACAUCAGGCACUGCUAUUGAUAUUGCAGUGUGAGCUUUAACCAAGUCACCGAAAGCUCAGUGCUCUUUAUUUGAGCAUACUCCCUAAGGAGAAAGGACACUAUUACUGUUUUAUUGUUAAUAUGGGGCGCCUCUGAUGAUUAUUAAAGGUGCUUUAAAGAUCUGCAUAUUUUACUUCACCACUUUAGAGGCAUAAAUCUUUUCUCGACUUAUGAUAGGUUUAGUGCAUGUGUAAAAUGACUUUGUACCGACACACCAGAGCAGCUUACUAUUUGGUAAUCUUCCUAUAUUUACUGUUCCAUUUAUUUUGCAUUUGUCUGGCAUUUUGGUUUUGUAAAGCUCAGACUUCUGCCAUCUACGUCUUUGAGUGCUGAAGGACUGCAUAUGUUUGAAUUCAAGGCCAGGCUGGACGUGGCUCUGGGCAGCCUGGUCUAGUGGUUGGCAACCCUGCACUCAGCAGGGGGUUGAAACUCGAUGAUCUCUGAAGUCCUUUUCAACCCAGGCCAUUCUAUGAUUCUAUGAUUCUAUGAUUCUAUGAUUCUAUGAUUCUAUGAUUCUAUGAAUAGUACUCUGGCAUCAACUAAAGGCUGAUUUUUUUGGUACCACGAUGUACCAAAUUUUGCCCCCACAUCUAUAAUAUUUAUAUAAUGCUUGGGAAGUGAACUGCUAUAGACUGUUUUUGCUGCUGCUUUGGAAUCGGGGUUGCUGAAUUACUUUUAGAAAUUCCCAUUAGAAAACAGUUUGUACAGACUUGCCAAACAAUGAGCCAACUUUAAAUUCAUAUAUUGUCCUUCCGUACAUGAAAGCAGAGGGAGGUUUCUUAAUCCUCACUGGAAAAGUUAAUCAACACAGUCACAGCUUACCCUGUCUGAAAAAGCUUUCUAACGGUGAAGGAAAUUCUUAUUUCUUGUUUCUCCUUUGAGUAGUGACAAUUUGACAAUGCAAAAGUGUACGGAACAACUGCAUAAGUAUAUGGAACAAUGUAUCAGAAUCAUUGGGAUACAAUUUCUUAAUACAGAUAGAUCUAUUCAUUUUAAAAUCCAUAUAUAGUCAUGGAAUGGCGCUGAGCUCUUUAAUGGUAGAAAAUGAAUUCCAAACCUUGUAUGAGAAGUACAGGUUUUUGGUUUGUGCUGCAGAGGAGCAGGAAUGAAUGGGGAUUCCAAACAGUUGUGCUCAGUGCCCAGACUCUGCUCCUGGCUCUAGCUGAAAGGAGCACGCAAUGUGCCGCAGAUGUAGCUGAUCAUUUUCCUGGCCAUACGGCCUUAUUUUUGCUGGCAGGCACACAGGUCAGAUGCCCAGGCUGCCACUGCUCAUUUGCGACUUGCAAGGAUACCGCAUCGGAACAACGCGUAACAGCAUGCAUGGAGCCUGGUAGCAUGGGAAUUCUGUAUUGGUUUAUUUCCCGAAGAUUCCAGGACACCUUUACUAUACAGCUUCUUUCCAAUUGCACCAGGAAGGGCUUUAGGCAUUCUUCUAAAAAGGGAGGACAAUUUUGUUACAUGUACAAUGGCUACAAAGCAGCUCUGAAACAAGGCCCAAGCAGCUGUAUUCUGUACCUAAAAUGGAAAACAGAUCAAGAAGGCUUUGACUAGAAGACAUAACACUGAAUAUUCCAGAAUUGCAGAAUA